GGUAUAGCACUUCGGUGCUAGAGACCGGCGCACGGGUGCGUAACGCGUAUGCAAUCUACCUUUUACAGGGGGAUAGCCCAGAGAAAUUUGGAUUAAUACCCCAUAGUAUAUAUGAAUGGCAUCAUUUAUAUAUUAAAGUCACAACGGUAAAAGAUGAGCAUGCGUCCCAUUAGCUAGAUGGUAAGGUAACGGCUUACCAUGGCAACGAUGGGUAGGGGUCCUGAGAGGGAGAUCCCCCACACUGGUACUGAGACACGGACCAGACUCCUACGGGAGGCAGCAGUGAGGAAUAUUGGACAAUGGGCGCAAGCCUGAUCCAGCCAUGCCGCGUGCAGGAUGACGGUCCUAUGGAUUGUAAACUGCUUUUAUACGAGAAGAAACACUCCUUCGUGAAGGAAUUUGACGGUAUCGUAAGAAUAAGGAUCGGCUAACUCCGUGCCAGCAGCCGCGGUAAUACGGAGGAUCCAAGCGUUAUCCGGAAUCAUUGGGUUUAAAGGGUCCGUAGGCGGUCUAGUAAGUCAGUGGUGAAAGCCCAUCGCUCAACGGUGGAACGGCCAUUGAUACUGCUGGACUUGAAUUAUUAGGAAGUAACUAGAAUAUGUAGUGUAGCGGUGAAAUGCUUAGAGAUUACAUGGAAUACCAAUUGCGAAGGCAGGUUACUACUAAUGGAUUGACGCUGAUGGACGAAAGCGUGGGUAGCGAACAGGAUUAGAUACCCUGGUAGUCCACGCCGUAAACGAUGGAUACUAGCU
rnacentral:rRNA from 1 species